UGCAAAACAGCUCCCCAGGGUGACUGUGUUUUAUCCAAAAAGCCUGCAGUACAGCUGGUUGGAGGGAGCUAGCCCCUUUUAACCCUCCCACAAAACUGGCAUUUCUCAGCAGGUCUGUGGAUCCUGCUUUCCAGCUGGAUUUCAUGGGAGAGGAGAGCAGCCAGCAUCUCCUGCUGACACCAAACCCCUUCCCAAGGGGGAUGGGACCCUGCACUUUGCACUUGCUUCCAUUCCUCAAUCUGAAGAGAGCUCAUGAAAAAGCAAGCACAAUAAUUGAUUGGUUCUAUUAAUAUGUCCUGAACUGAUCUCUUGCACUGACCAUAGCUUAAUGAAUAAUGUUCCCAGCAAAGUUUGCAGGUACAACUCCAAGCUGUGAUGGUCCUGUGGAGCACUGGCAGCAGUAAAACAUCCAACUGCUGGAUCCCUGCCUCCCUCUUGGGGUCUCCCCUUCCCUGCAUCCCAGUCUGAAUGGGUCUCUGGGAUGAAUCAUACCCUUUUGCUGCUCAACACCAUUUUUAUUGGAAAGGAUUUACCAGCUGUGCAAUAGUGAGACUGAAAUGGUGUGUGGUCCCCUCCCAGAGCUGCUUCCUGCCCCACAAAGGACAUGGACUUCACUGUGCCAGAGUGUCCUCCCUGUCAGGUCCUUUUCCUGAAGAGUAACAAGAAAUAAAAUCUCUGAGA